UUGUCUUUCAUAAUUCCAAGCUCAACAAAUGAUGGAAGUUUAUCUGUGGCAAUUGCUCUUCAGCAUGAGCAUAUGAAAGUGUUUAAGGAAUUCUUGUAUGAUAUCUGAAGAAACAAUUGGAACAGCACUGUUUCUAAGGUGGUGUUUUGUUUCCUAGUUUUUGGUUUUUCUUUAGGUACAUUUGGUGAACUAUAUGCAAAUGUUAAUGAGACUUGUUUCAGCUUAUCAUAGAGUAAAUCUAUGGUAAGCAUUAUAAUCUGUAAACAAUUUAAUUUCAUGUUGCAGUUUGCACAAGACUUCAAACAUUUGGAAAUUUGUUAUAUGAAAAUGUCUUACUGAUAAUAUUUAUGUAUGAAAUUCACAUCUAUCCUCCUCCCAGAGGCAAUUCGUGGUCGAACAACACGAGUAAGACAUCUCUUAUCUUGACAAGAGUUCGAACUAGAUAUUUCUCACUAAGUAGUGAAUUUUUGUACUCAUUCUCUCUACUUACAGACCUAACAUGUUUCACUAGGCCAACUCCAUUGAGUUAGCUCUCUUUUUUUUUCCGCGUAAACCAGGUAUCCUCUGCGCGCAAUUGCAAAGGCUAAUCCCUUGAGCCUUGUGGGACCCAAAUGAGCGGCAAACUCUCCCUAAGAGUUUUAACGCUGCUGUAUGCCUAAGCCAGGGAUCGAAUCCAUUGAGUUAGCUCUUUAGAUAAUACGAUCAAUGAUUUUCCUUUCUGAUUGGAAUUGGAAAUCUGUAAUAUGCUUAACUCAAAGCAUUUAUUCAUGUUAAAAUUUAAGUUUUGACAAUUUAGAAGGACAACAAUACAUUAUGAUGUACAAAAAUGCAUUUCUCUUCUAAACAAGCCCAUGCUUCAAACAGAACUAAAAGUGUUUGAAAAUUCAUAGCAACUUAGCAUGAAAGGAGAAGAAUAAUACUAAAACAAAGCUUAUACACACAUUUGAAAUCCAAGGUAUCAAGGAAGGUGCAGAGUUUCUAGAACGGUGAGAGUCAGGGCGGUUAUUAACAUUUGAUCCACCUUUGGUUCCUUUUCCUUUAUGAGCUCUCCUAAUCGACAAAUGAUCUCGUUCGAACUUUUCCUCCUUUAUGUUUCCAUAGUUUCCAACAGCUUAAUAGAAUAAGCAAAAUUUAGUAUUAGCAUAGCAGCAAAAAAAGAAAAGAAAAAAGCAUAACAACAAUUUAGGAAAUGAUUCUUUAAAAAGCCGAAAAAUGUUUACUACUAAUAGGUUGCUUUCUUUGCAUGUUGCUAUUUGACGAGUUUAGGCUUCUUUGUUCUGAACUGAAAUUUCCAUUUAAACAAAAGCUUGAUAUGGCUUGAGUGCAUAAAACAAUGAUGAAGCAUGCAAGAAAUCUUAAUCUCAUUGUCGG
rnacentral:lncRNA from 1 species